GAAAGCCGUAUUCGAUGAAAGUCGUAUGUACGGCUUGGAGGGGGGCUCGUGUCCUUCGGUGGCGUGCAUGGUACGCACAUUAGGCAACCCCAU
rnacentral:ncRNA from 1 species